UUUUUUUUUUUUUUUUUUUUUUUCCCUCCACUAAGAGAUGUCUGUAAAAUAGAAAUGUAUAUCAUACACUGCUGCAUCAUACUCUCUAACAAUUAUACUACUUGAUCCUCCUUUAUAAAAGUCAGGGGCUGUAUUCUACAAACCAUCAUAGCUAAGUCCAUUGGUCAUAGCAAAACAAAAUGGCGCAUUUCAGACAUAACUCUGCCAUAUAAACUUAUGGUUGUCCAUAAACUCCUAUUAUCAGUCAUAAAAUGCUAUAACAGGGUUCGCUCUGUCUUAGUGCUGCUUAUGGCCAUCAGAAGUCUGUCAACAUCAUGACAACAUAUCCAUAUAUACCAUAACGCAAUCUUCAACUGUUUUUUAUUAUUAAUAUAAGAAUAAAUAUUAGUAACUGUGAGUAAAUAAUGUCCUUCUUUGAGGCAAUAAAGUAUUAUUAUAAAUAAUUGCCAGGAGCAGUACAAUCAGUUUUCCUAAACAUAAACAAACCUUGCCUUGUGUGGCCUGCAUGACAGGCUCUCAGCCGUAAUCUUCUUCUUUAUAAUCAUGUUUCUUUCAAUUAGAUACAUUGUCUAAGUUUCCAAAAGUCAUAAUAUGAAGUUAAAACAAUUUAAAUCUAAAAAAAUAAUGUCAAGAAGCUAUUUCAUUCCAUAAAUUUAAAGUUGACCAAUUGUGAGCAUGCAUUCUAGUGGCAGAUGGUGGCUGAGAUAUGACUGACGACUUCUGAUGGCCAUAAGAAAGUCAUUCAUAAAAUCUGUUAGCUAUAGUCGACCAUAAACACUAUGUAUAAUAAGGAUUCAGGGGUACAAGUGAACACUCAUGGACUCAUGUGGUCACAAGUUAAAUUCCACAUUAAGACAUUUAUCUUGUGGGAGGGGGGAAGGGGUACUGCUCUCCUCUGACUCCAGUAGUGCUACAUGGUUUUCACUGACUACAUCUCAAGAUGCUUUUGAAAACCUUAUAAAUCAGAUGCCCAGCAGCCAGAAACACUACAUUGUGAGUCUGACAUGGCUGUAUCAAGCAAGGUGGUGGAUAACAUGAUGCAAUCAGGCCCAGGACAGGACAGACCGAUACAGGCAAAACCAAAUACUGUACUUUGUAUAACUGGGCACUUUAAUGCUACAGCAGAGUACAAAGACGCAAUACUUCAGUCACUCCAGUAAUCACCCCACUAGCAAGCAUAGAAUCUCCCCCCAGUCACAACUUCAGGCAGUUUCUUCAUGACAGAGCUGUCUGUACAUGGCUUUUUCUAUGCAUGGCACUCUAUGCACAACAUUGUCUAUGUACGGCUGUAGCGGCAUAGAAAAGGUACAGCAAUUCACAAAGGCAACAGAAAGCUGGGCACAACAGGGAACCACACUUCAGCCAGGCGAUGUGCCUCUUCUCUCUGUCGUCUCUUCUCUCUUUUUUAUUGUCUCACUGCCUUGCCCACUGCCUGCCGCUUGCCCUGUAUGAGAUGUGUCUGUUCUCCUUUCCAUUUUUUCUCAUACCCAUACUGCACAAUCAAUUACAUUUUUGCUCAUAUAAGUGUGUGCGCACACAUUCAUAACAAAUAUGAAUGCCUUUAUUCUCAGCACUCCAUUACCCACUCAAAUUAUUCAAAUUACUCACUUAUGGGUAAUUACCCCAAGGCUGGGAACCUCUGCUCUAGAUCAUGCCACUAACUAGCUGAUGGAAUAAUCAAUGCCUAUUUCAUUAAAUGUGCACUUAAUUAGAAAGUUGUUUAGUGAAAGGGAGCACAAUCUAUUUGCAAACAUGAUAUGAACAAAUUCGCAGAAAAUAGUGUGCCAUCUGCCUAAAUUGAUGCAUUUGACGUAUUUUCACUGGUGUUAUCUUUAAAAUUUUAAAAAGUAUUUUUCAUGUAUCUCACCAAGUGGGAAAUGAGUGUAUACUUGGAGUGAAUGACUGAGAGAACAGUGAUGAAAUGUACUGAUAGUAUGUCAGAAAUGCAUAUCUAGUCUUAAACAGUUGUAUUAUAUAGAAAUAUGUGCAGUAUUUCAAAUGUGCUAUGCUAAUUAUAAAAUUUUUGGUAAUUACAUAUUGUGAAAAUUUUUAUACAUUUUAAUUUAAGACUUAAUAAAUAAAACUUGGUAACCACUAUUGCCAGCAAUUUGCAAAUAUUGGUCUUGUCUCCAAUAAAAAACUUACUUCAAUAUGUUUUGAAGUUGACUUUUUAUGAAAAUGCAUAGAAUAUUUUGUUAAUAUCUUAGUAAAGACAUGAGAAGAUUCCAACAUAAAUUGUGAAUGUAUUAUCUACUUAAAAAAAGAAGUACUUCAAGGUGGCUUUUAUUUCAACCUACAUUUCACGAAGUACAAACAAUAACAAUAAUAAAUGUCUUUUAUUCAUAGUUGCUAUUUAUUUAUAUACCAGGUUGGCAUCUCCUUUAGUGAGUAGUAGCCAAAAUAAGAUCAUGCCUGAUGUAACUGUAGGAACAAAAUAAAUAAAAACAAAAGAGAA